rnacentral:rRNA from 1 species
UACGGGGGAGCAAGCGUUGUUCGGAUUUACUGGCGUAAAGGGCGCGUAGGCGGUCAGCACAAGUCAGUUGUGAAAUCUCCGGGCUUAACUCGGAAAGGUCAACUGAUACUGUGCGACUAGAGUGCGGAAGGGGCAACUGGAAUUCUCGGUGUAGCGGUGAAAUGCGCAGAUAUCAGGAGGAACACCGAUGGCGAAGGCGGGUCUCUGGGCCGAUACUGACGCUGAGGAGCGAAAGCGUGGGGAGCGAACAGG